rnacentral:lncRNA from 1 species
CGACUGUUUGCUACUGUGUGUUCCUGUUUAAAUUCACCAAACUUGUUUCUUCUCUCUUUUCCCUCAGCACCCUUUGACAAUGAUAAUGCUCUUCUCUGGAGACCUCUACAGUCUGUUGAAUUUCCUCAGUUUUGCCAGGUGGUUUUUUAUUGGGCUGGCAGUUGCUGGGCUGAUUUAUCUUCGAUACAAACGCCCAGAUAUGCAUCGUCCUUUCAAGGUGCCGCUCUUCAUCCCUGCACUGUUUUCCUUUACGUGCUUCUUCAUGGUGGCCCUUUCCCUUUAUUCUGAUCCAUUCAGCACUGGCAUUGGCUUUGUCAUUACCCUGACUGGGGUCCCUGCAUACUAUCUCUUUGUUAUUUGGGACAAGAAACCCAACUGGUUUAGAAGAACAUCAGACAUGAUAACCAGAACAUUACAGAUAAUACUGGAAGUUGUACCAGAAGAAGAUUGUCAGAAAUUAUAAGUUAAUGCAUUGAGUUUUGACAAUCUGCUGAAGCACAGAAAUAUAGUAUGGAUUUUUACUCCAUUUUCUUCAAAUCCAGAGAAUUGCAACUUUGGUGAUGGACUAAAUGAAUCAUGCAUUUCUGUUCACAUCUUCUAGUGUAGUCACACUAAUAUCUGAGGAACAGUGAUAAUACUAUGUCUUUGUAAAAAGCUGAUGCACAGAUUGAACCAUAAAUUUACGUGGUCCUUAGGUUUCUAAUACCUAACUGUUGAGGGUAAGGGAAAUGACUGUGGAGAUAGACCACUAGUCGGGUAGUCAUUCUCUAUGAUAUAUCUUAUGACAAAGAACCUUCAAAUCAUAGAGUAAACAUGUUUUCUGUAUAUAUGGGUUUUGUGAACAUGUUUUAGAUACUGUAGAUGAUUAAACUGUGAAAAGUAGUUUUUAUUCUUCUGAAAAAAUAAUGUGUCAUUAUUAUGACAAAGAGGAAAGAAGUUUUAUAUUGAUAUUUUUGGUAUUGCAUUGCUUCCCCUUGAAUAUCAUUGUUUACUGCAUUAUACAAAGAGCAUCUGAACAAAAGUAAAGCCGAUACAUAAUUCUCUUGAAUGCAUAAGAGGAGAACUUCUAUUCUCCACUAUUUCCAUUCUUUAUGAAGUAAAUCCAGGAAUUAUCUUAUUAAAGUCUGCCAUAGUUUAUGUUAGAGAUUUUCUCAGUUAUUAUUAGAUAUUCCAGUGUUAAUGUGCCAUGCUGUUUCAUGCCAGGUCACUUUAUGAAGUAGUUAUGUCUGCCUUGGUAUUCAAAUUAAGAACCAUCAUCUCUUUCACUAAAACUUACCCCUUGAGAAAAAUGUCUAUAAUUACCCAUGUAAAUUUUUUUGGUACCAGGGAUUGAACUUCUGACCUUACACUUGCCCCACAGGCACUUGUGCCACUGAUCUAAAUCCCCAGCCCCAAUUUUCCCAUUUAAAACUUCACAUUCCACUACUGAGGUGAAAAACAUCAUCAAUAAAGAAAGUACUCAGAAUAUCCAGC